CAUGCGAGUCGAACGCAGUAGCAAUACUGAGUGGCAAACGGGUGAGUAUAAUGUGGGAAUCUGCCUUUUGGUUUGGAAUAACACGGGGAAACUCGUGCUAAUACCGAAUAAGCCUUUACAGGGAAAGUUUUAACGCCGAAAGAUGAGCCCGCACUUGAUUAGCUAGUUGGUAAGGUAAAAGCUUACCAAGGCAAUGAUCAAUAGCUGUUCUUAGAGGAAGACCAGCCACAUUGGGACUGAGACACGGCCCAGACUCCUACGGGAGGCAGCAGUGGGGAAUCUUGCACAAUGGGGGAAACCCUGAUGCAGCGAUGCCGCGUGAGUGAAGAAGGCCUUUGGGUUGUAAAACUCUUUCGUCGGGGAAGAAAAUGACUGUACCCGAAUAAGAAGGUCCGGCUAACUUCGUGCCAGCAGCCGCGGUAAUACGAAGGGACCUAGCGUAGUUCGGAAUUACUGGGCUUAAAGAGCUCGUAGGUGGUUAAAAAGUUGAUGGUGAAAUCCCAAGGCUUAACCUUGGAACUGCCAUCAAAACUUUUUAGCUAGAGUGUGAUAGAGGUAAGUGGAAUUUCUAGUGUAGAGGUGAAAUUCGUAGAUAUUAGAAAGAACACCAAAUGCGAAGGCAACUUACUGGGUCACUACUGACACUGAGGAGCGAAAGCAUGGGUAGCGAAGAGGAUUAGAUACCCUCGUAGUCCAUGCCGUAAACGAUGUGUGCUAGACGUUGGAAAUAUAUUUUUCAGUGUCGCAGCGAAAGCAUUAAGCACACCGCCUGGGGAGUACGACCGCAAGGUUAAAACUCAAAUGAAUUGACGGGGACCCGCACGAGCAGUGGAGCAUGUGGUUUAAUUCGAAGAUACGCGCAGAACCUUACCAACACUUGACAUGUUCGUCGCGAGCCUAAGAGAUUAGGCUUUUCAGUUUGGCUGGACGAAACACAGGUGCUGCAUGGCUGUCGUCAGCUCGUGUCGUGAGA
rnacentral:rRNA from 1 species